UGCCCUAGUAACGGCGAGUGAAGCGGCAACAGCUCAAAUUUGAAAGCUGGCCUUCGGGUCCGCAUUGUAAUUUGUAGAGGAUGCUUUGGGUGAAACGCCAGUCUAAGUUCCUUGGAACAGGACGUCAUAGAGGGUGAGAAUCCCGUAUGUGACUGGAAAUGUUAACCUAUGUAAAGCUCCUUCGACGAGUCGAGUUGUUUGGGAAUGCAGCUCUAAAUGGGAGGUAAAUUUCUUCUAAAGCUAAAUAUUGGCGAGAGACCGAUAGCGCACAAGUAGAGUGAUCGAAAGAUGAAAAGCACUUUGGAAAGAGAGUUAAAAAGCACGUGAAAUUGUUGAAAGGGAAGCGCUUGCAAUCAGACUUGUUUAAACUGUUCGGCCGGUCUUCUGACCGGUUUACUCAGUUUGGACAGGCCAGCAUCAGUUUCGGCGGCCGGAUAAAGGCUCUGGGAAUGUGGCCUUCACUUCGGUGAAGGUGUUAUAGCCCAGGGUGUAAUACGGCCAGCCGGGACUGAGGUCCGCGCUUCGGCUAGGAUGCUGGCGUAAUGGUUGUAAGCGACCCGUCUUGAAACACGGACCAAGGAGUCUAACAUCUAUGCGAGUGUUCGGGUGUCAAACCCCUGCGCGUAAUGAAAGUGAACGGAGGUGGGAACCGCAAGGUGCACCAUCGACCGAUCCUGAUGUCUUCGGAUGGAUUUG
rnacentral:rRNA from 1 species